UCUGACCUGCCCUCUGAUAAUUAUUAAAUGGCCGCAGUAUUUUAACUGUGCAAAGGUAGCAUAAUCAUUAGUCUUUUAAUUGAAGGCUUGUAUGAAUGGUUGGACGAGGCAUAUACUGUAUCAUAAUAAUAUAUAGAAUUUUAUUUUUUAGUUAAAAAGCUAAGAUUUAUAUGAAAGACGAGAAGACCCUAUAGAUCUUUAUAUUUAAAUUAUUUUUAAUUAUUUAGAUGAUUUUAGUUUAGAUUAGUUUAAAUAUUUUGUUGGGGUGACAUUAAGAUUUAUUUAACUCUUAAUUUAUUAUUACAUUAAUUUUUGAAUAUUUAUUUUUGAUCCUUUAUUAUGGAUUGUAAAAUUAAGUUACCUUAGGGAUAACAGCGUAAUUUUUCUGGAGAGUCCAUAUCAAUAGAAAAGGUUGCGACCUCGAUGUUGGAUUAAGAUAAAUAUUGGGAGCAGAAGUUCAAUUUAUUAAGUCUGUUCGACUUUUAAUUUCUUACGUGAUCUGAGUUCA
rnacentral:rRNA from 1 species